ACGGGAGGCAGCAGUGAGAAUUUGGUCAAUGGGCGAGAGCCUGAACCAGCCAUCCCGCGUGCAGGAAGAAUGCCCUAUGGGUUGUAAACUGCUUUUUCUCAUGAAGAACACCUCUGACGUGUCAGAGGCUGACGGUAAUGCGUGAAUAAGCACCGGCUAACUCCGUGCCAGCAGCCGCGGUAUUACGGAGGGUGCAAGCGUUAUCCGGAUUUAUUGGGUUUAAAGGGUGCCUAGGCGGCUAUUUAAGUCAGUGGUGAAAUCCUGCAGCUCAACUGUAGAACAGCCAUUGAAACUGAAUAGCUUGAGUAAUCUUGAGGUAGGCGGAAUGUGUAGUGUAGCGGUGAAAUGCUUAGAUAUUACACAGAACACACCGAUUGCGAAGGCAGCUUACUAAGGAUUUACUGACGCUGAUGCACGAAAGCGUGGGGAUCAAACAGGAUUAGAUACCCCUGGUAGUCCACGCCGUAAACGAUGAUAACUCGCUGUUGGCGAUACACAGUCAGCGGCUUAGCGAAAGCGUUAAGUUAUCCACCUGGGGAGUACGCUCGCAAGAGUGAAACUCAAAGGAAUUGACGGGGGCCCGCACAAGCGGAGGAACAUGUGGUUUAAUUCGAUGAUACGCGAGGAACCUUACCUGGGCUUAAAUGUGCUGUGACCGCCCGGAGAAAUUUGGCUUUUCGCAAGAACAGAGUACAAGGUGCUGCAUGGUUGUCGUCAGCUCGUGCCGUGAGGUGUCGGGUUAAGUCCCAUAACGAGCGCAACCCUUAUUGUCAGUUGCUAACAGGUCAUGCUGAGGACCCUGGCGAGACUGCCACCGUAAGGUGUGAGGAAGGUGGGGAUGACGUCAAAUCAGCACGGCCCUUAUGUCCAGGGCUACACACGUGUUACAAUGGCCAGUACAAAGGGCAGCUACCGGGCGACCGGAUGCUAAUCUCUAAAGCUGGUCUCAGUUCGGAUCGAAGUCUGCAACCCGACUUCGUGAAGCUGGAUUCGCUAGGAAUCGCAUAUCAGCCAUGAUGCGGUGAAUACGUUCCCGGGCCUUGUACACACCG
rnacentral:rRNA from 1 species